GUCCACGCAGUAAACGAUGAAUACUAACUGUUUGCGAUACAAUGUAAGCGGUACAGCGAAAGCGUUAAGUAUUCCACCUGGGGAGUACGCCGGCAACGGUGAAACUCAAAGGAAUUGACGGGGGCCCGCACAAGCGGAGGAACAUGUGGUUUAAUUCGAUGAUACGCGAGGAACCUUACCCGGGCUCAAAACGCAGGGGGAAUGCCGGUGAAAGCCGGCAGCUAGCAAUAGUCACCUGCGAGGUGCUGCAUGGUUGUCGU
rnacentral:rRNA from 1 species